rnacentral:rRNA from 1 species
GAUCCUGGCUCAGGUCGAACGCUGGCGGCGUGUCUAAGGCAUGCAAGUCGAACGCUCCCUGAGGUGCUUGCACCUCUACGGAGAGUGGCAGACGGGAGAGUAACGCAUUGGUAACUUACCCUGAACUCGCGAGUAACCCGGGGAAACUCGGACUAAUACGCGAUAUGGAUGGGGGGACGCAAGUCAUUCCCAUUGAAAGUUCCGACGGUUCAGGAAAGGCCUAUGUCCUAUCAGCUUGUUGGUGAGGUAAUAGCUCACCAAGGCUACGACGGGUACCGGGCGUGAGAGCGUGACCCGGCUCACUGGGACUGAGACACUGCCCAGACUCCUACGGGAGGCUGCAGUCAAGAAUCUUCCGCAAUGCACGAAAGUGUGACGGAGCGACGCCGCGUGCCGGAUGAAGGCCUUCAGGUUGUAAACGGCUGUUCUGAGGGACAAAUUUGUGAUGGUACCUCAGCAGAAAGUGGUUGCUAACUCUGUGCCAGCAGCAGCGGUAAUACAGAGACCACGAGCGUUGACCGGAUUUAUUGGGCGUAAAGCGUGCGCAGGCGGUUUCGUAAGUCAUUUGUUAAAUCUUCAGGCUCAACCUGGAGGCAGCAGGUGAUACUGCGAGACUAGAGGAUGGGAGAGGAUGGCGGAAUGCCCGGUGUAGGGGGUAAAAUCCGUUAAUAUCGGGUAGAACACCAAAUGCGAAAGCAGCCAUCUGGAACAUUCCUGACGCUGUUGCACGAAAAGCGUGGGUAGCGAAUCGGAUUAGAUACCCGAGUAGUCCACGCCGUAAACGAUGGAUGCUAGGUAUUGGGAGUAUCGACCCUUUCAGUGCCGUUGAACCAAGCUAACGCGUUAAGCAUCCCGCCUGGGGAGUACGGCCGCAAGGCUAAAACUCAAAGGAAUAGACGGGGACCCGCACAAGCGGUGGAUCAUGCGGUUUAAUUCGAUAAUACGCGAGAAACCUCACCUGGGCUCAACUACUAGCUGCAAGCUCCCGAAACGGAGUCGCCUUCGAGGGUGCUAGAUAGGUGCUGCAUGGCUGUCGUCAGCUCGUGCCGUGAGGUGUCGGGUUAAGUCCCGUAACGAGCGCAACCCUUGCCCUUAGUUACAAGUGUCUAAGGGGACUGCCCGGGACAACUGGGAGGAAGGUGGGGAUGACGUCAAGUCAGCAUGGCCUUGAUAUCCAGGGCUACACACACGCUACAAUGGCCGGUACAAAGGGCAGCCAAGCCGCGAGGUGGAGCGAAUCCCAGCAAAGCCGGUCCCAGUUCGGAUUGCAGGCUGCAACCCGCCUGCAUGAAGUUGGAGUUGCUAGUAACCGCGCGUCAGCCAUAGUGCGGUGAAUACGUACCCGGGUCUUGUACACACCGC